UACGUAGGGGGCAAGCGUUGUCCGGAUUUAUUGGGCGUAAAGAGCGUGUAGGCGGCCUGAAAGGUCAGCUGUGAAAACUUGAGGCUCAACCUCGAGACGUCGGUUGAAACCAUCUGGCUAGAGUCCGGGAGAGGAGAGUGGAAUUCCUGGUGUAGCGGUGAAAUGCGCAGAUAUCAGGAAGAACACCCGUGGCGAAAGCGGCUCUCUGGAACGGUACUGACGCUGAGACGCGAAAGCGUGGGGAGCGAACAGG
rnacentral:rRNA from 1 species